GCUUAUGCCCGAAACGUCGAUUCUCCUGCUCCUCGGAUGCUGCCUGGCCUGCUGUGUUUUUCCAGCACCACAUCUUUCAACAAUAGAUUAAUUCAAGACUCGAGAUUUUGAUCUCUUUGGUUGAGUAUUGAUUAUCUGUGUCGUUACCAAAAGGACAUCUGGAACCAUUACAUAUAUUCACAUAUUAAACUCAUGAUAGUAAAGUUAUGUUUAUGUCAGUAACUUCUCUGGUAACUUUAAUUUAGUUCAUAACUUAGCUCAGACUUCACAGCAAACAGAAAAUAGCAGUUUAUUCCAUGUACUCAUCCACAAUGGUUUAAACAGAAUUUUGAUUGGACUGGGUCAGAAUUUGUUUUGUACCUUGUGAAAUACUGACAUGAUUACUAAUAAAGAAUUUAAAACUGCUGUAUGUUAGACAAUAAAUAGUUUUAAAUAAUACUCUUGUGCUCUUUCUCUUGAUUAUUUGUUUUAUUCCUUCUGAUCAAAUAGAAGAGAGUUUUGUUUUAUGUUGCAGGCACAACUUGUGUGUGACCUCCACCCAGUGCUUCACAUGGAAGAUUGGAUUCAGUUCAUCAUUUGGAAGAAGACCAGAAUUGCAUGCAAUGUUC